rnacentral:rRNA from 1 species
UACGUAGGGAGCGAGCGUUAUCCGGAUUUAUUGGGUGUAAAGGGUGCGUAGGCGGUUUUACAGGUCUGUGGUUUAAGCCCGAAGCUUAACUUCGGUUCGCCACAGAAACCGUAGAACUAGAGUAUGGUAGAGGCAAGCGGAAUUUCUAGUGUAGCGGUAAAAUGCGUAGAUAUUAGAAGGAACACCAGUGGCGAAGGCGGCUUGCUGGGCCAACACUGACGCUGAGGCACGAAAGCGUGGGGAGC